CAGGUUCUAGAGCGGGUUCCGGAGCGGUUCUAGAGCGGGUUCUAGAGCGGGUUCCGGAGCGGGUUCCGGAGCGGGUUCCUGGGUUCUGGAGCUGGAGCUGGUUCUGAGAGCAUCUUGUCCCGAUCCCCGGGGUGGGUGGUUGGCAAUCCCUGGCUCUCUGAAGAGCCAAGGCAGAGUGAUGCUGUCACCUCCGAAUGACUCAGUAGCUAUAAAUCAGAGCAGGAAACCUCUAGCUCAGAGACAUAUCAUGAUGGAACCCAUCUGACUGGGCCAUCUUAUUCCUGCCCUAGGCAGGGUGGGUUCCUCUUAUCUGGGGCCUUUGUUUCUAUGGGAUCAAAACAAGCUCUGAGCUGCAGCUGUGAUUGAAACCAGCUUGGCCUUUCUGAACCUUUCUCUUCCUCGAGCUGGGGUUGGUGUGUGGCUCUCCAAGCCAGAAGGCUGAUGUCAGGAUUGCUUCAUUCAGCAACGCUGGGUAAGGGCUAAUAAACACCACUAAGAGCUUGCUAAUAGCUCUAAUUAGACUGCAGCUGAUGCUUCAUAAGUGGUUCUUUCCUCUUCCACCCCUUUCUUGCAGCUAUUUCCUGGUGGAGUUUAGGAAGGCGGUCUGGCACGGUUUUCUCAGGGCAGCCGUCUGCUUCUAGGCUGAGCUGAGACACGAUGUCUCUUCUGUACAUGAGCUGGCCUGAGCUGAAGGAUUCCACGCUCCUACAGCAGCGUCAUGGAAAACACCACUUGCCACAGCACAGAACGAGUUCCUAUAACGCAGCUGAACAACCUGCUGUGCAACCUUCCUCCACAGGGAUUCAUGGGCAUAUUUUGAAAGCCUCUUUGCUCCAAGCCCCCACAAAAAAAAAAGGAAAAUCAAACCAAACAUACUUUGGAAUAAGCUACUGGAGCAGAUGACUUGGAAAUGGCUAGCGCUGGCGUUGGAUGCAGGCAUAUAUCCCCUGAUUCUGUGGACUUGAAAGCAAGUGAGCACAGUGAUUGUGGUAGCAGGUCUUCUGUCCUUCUUACAGAGAUAAAAGCAAGGAGCAGACUGGAUUUUUGUGGGAGAGAGAGCUUUUCAAGAAAUGCCCUCCUUGAAACCUCUUAUGGAAAUAAAAGGAACAUCUACAGCUGUGAAAGAAGCUAAAAAAGCUGUCCCUCCCACAGCCUGGGACAGUCACUGCAAAGUUGGGAUUUGUUCUGUGUGUUUGGACAUGAGGGGUACAGUCUCCCUAUGGAUCCUGGGGGAGGGAAAUAGGGCAUUGCACAGAAAAAAAGAGCUCUUGAGGGAAGGCCACAGCAUUUACUGCCGUGUUUUGUGUGAGUGCUAAGGGUGGGGGAAAUAGAGGAGGGUAAAAUGACAUCUGGGGGCUUAGUAAUAAAUUGAGAUAAAGUCUCAACAUCUCCCUGGGGUGAUUUUAAAUGGGGUCUGUGUGUCUGAAGAUCCAAGGGGGUUUGCAGGGAGGAGGAUGUUUGUCUGUCUGGGACAACAGUGCUUUUGGGCAGGGAUUCAGCCACAUCUAGAAAUAACAUGGGAUAAAAUUCUUUCUGCAACAGCAGAGCUGUGACCUUUGGGGUUAUUUCACUUUCUAAAGGAAAGCUGAAUUCCUCCUUUGGGAAUCAAUGGAAAAGCAUUCCUUGAAAUAUGACCAAACACUCGGCAUGUUCUCUGCUGGUGACAGCACUGCAGAAUGCAGUGGAGAUGAGCGCUCCUCUUUCCCAAUAUCCCUUCCCAGCUGGGGUUUCCCAAGUACUCUUGGAUGAUGGUGGUUUUUGAGGACAUCAGAGUCAUCAAAUUUUUGAGGAUGUGCAGCUCAUCAAAUGCUGGCAUCAGUGCCUGGAAGAGAUGGGGUCCCUUUGGAAAUGCAGCAAGGAUUUUCCAUGCUUCCUGGAAGCUGUGCCGGGAGGAUGCGAUUCCCGGCUUCUUGAGGAGGUGCAGAGCUCUCUGCUAAUCCUCUGCACCCCAAGCCCUGCCUGUGCCAGGGAAAGGAGUGUGCAGGUUCUGGCUAUGAAGUUUAGGCAGCCUCUUUCUGGCAGCCUCUGCCUGGAUUUGGCAGGCAGGGGGACUUUGUGACAUUUAUUUCUUGUCUCUGGGAGCGUGGAAGAGCCUCAAAUGUCCUGACCUUGUGCCAUGCCUGCUGUGACACUGAGAAGGUGGCUUGUGCUGUGCUAGUCUGGAGCAAAGAACACUUCCUUCUGCAUUUCACACCAAACUGAUGGGAGCACGAUGAGAGAAUUGCUGUGGUGACAUCAGGUGGAACAAACUCACAAAGCAAAUUGAGCAAGUCGAGACACAAAAAGGCUGAAGCUUUUUAAAGGGGAAAAAAGAGCCCUGGGUGUGCUGUGAGCCACAUGCUGCCUCCUGAGGGUCUGGGCUUGUGCUGUCAGGAAAGACAAAGCUGCCAAGACCUUGCUUGGUUGUUUGGGGUUUUUUUGAGCCAGGUUGACAUAUCCUGAGAAAGCAGAGUGUUGUAUGCUACGGGCCAGGUGCUGGUGGCACAAGCUGGGAGGUGAAUGGCUCCUGAAUAUGACUGGUAAUCAAAAUCACAUUUGAGAGCCUCUGUGGAGCUCUUUGUAAAAAAACAUAACAAUUUAACUUGGCUCCCAAAUGAGAAUGCCACUGACAAGGCACUCCAGGCUGGCCAGCCCUGCGGGCCAGGGCGAGUUCCUGGUGGAGACACUUCUCUGCCCCUUGACAGCACCCUCUGCUCCUCUCCAGCUGCUG